rnacentral:rRNA from 1 species
UACGUAGGGGGCAAGCGUUGUCCGGAUUUAUUGGGCGUAAAGAGCGUGUAGGCGGCUUCACAGGUCCGCUGUGAAAACUCGAGGCUCAACCUCGAGCUGUCGGUGGAAACCGUGUGGCUAGAGUCCGGAAGAGGAGAGUGGAAUUCCCGGUGUAGCGGUGAAAUGCGCAGAUAUCGGGGAAGAACACCCGUGGCGAAGGCGGCUCUCUGGGACGGUACUGACGCUGAGACGCGAAAGCGUGGGGAGCGAACAGGA